AACCAAUAACCAUAGUCCAUAGAAAUCUUCUUGAUUGCCCCCAAACCACAAAUCGAUUUUCAUGGAAAUGAUGGAGUUUGGUGUAGAAUCGAACACCAAGAGCCAAACCUAAGAUGAAAAGAGGAACAAGAAACUGAAAGAGCUUAAUCAACAACAACUCAGAACUCUUCAAUUCAAAGCUCUUGUUAUCUUGAUUAUGCUCUGUCUGAUUUGGGGUAGUAGUAGUAGCAAUAUCACUGGCCUUGGUAGAGAGAUCUAUGUCUCCAACAUAAAACUCACUUAACAUGGCGAUUCCUGUGUUGAGAAAGCUCCGACAAGUUUAAAACCUUUCCAUUUCCGACCAUUUUUAAUUAUAUAUUUUUCCAAAAUUGUGGUGUGUAAAUUUCCAAGGAAAGAGAAUGUUUUUGUAUUUGUUUAUCUGAUUGUUGAAAAUUGAGAUUAGCUCUAACAUCAACCGUUUCUAUCGUAUGAGUACCAGAAUCCAC
rnacentral:sRNA from 1 species